UACGUAGGGGGCAGGCGUUGUCCGGAAUCAUUGGGCGUAAAGAGCGUGUAGGCGGCCCGAUAAGUCCGCUGUGAAAGUCCAGGGCUCAACCCUGGGAUGCCGGUGGAUACUGUCGGGCUCGAGUCCGGAAGAGGAGUGUGGAAUUCCUGGUGUAGCGGUGAAAUGCGCAGAUAUCAGGGGGAACACCAAUGGCGAAGGCAGCACUCUGGGACGUGACUGACGCUGAGACGCGAAAGCGUGGGGAGCAAACAGG
rnacentral:rRNA from 1 species